rnacentral:lncRNA from 1 species
AGCCAAGGCCCAAGCCAAGGAGAGCGUCUAGACCAAGACCAAGGUGAGCGUCUAGGACGUGAAGGUGAGCGUCUAGGACGUGAAGGAGGGAGGCUAUCCAUGGAGCUAGACCGUCUAGGCCCCCUUACAAGAUCAAUGGCCAAACAUGCUCAAACACAAGUAAAUGAAGCCACGGAUGGAAGAGAGAAGGCUUUGUAUAUGUUUGCAUAAAGGCCCAUUAGGGGUACUUAGUAGAUAGGAUAGUGUAGAAAGCACUUUUGAU